AGCCCUGUGGUGUAGUGGUCAAGCAUUGGAGCCUUUGGAGCUCUAGACGGAAGUUCGAAUCUUCCCAGGGCUA
rnacentral:tRNA from 2 species